rnacentral:lncRNA from 1 species
CUCUUUCCUCAAGAGCUCGAAGGCGCCGAGGGUUCAUCCAUGCCCAUUUCCACGCCUGCCACACCGGGGAAGUUACCUCCGGGGCGCUCACAGACAGGGCGCCCUGCCGGGAAUCCCAGGUUCAACCAGAAUUGUCCCUUUAGAUGGCGCGGGCACCGCCGGCCUGGCCUGGCCUGGGAGCGCUGCGGCAGGGCGGAGGUCUCAGGGAGUAAGGUGGUCUCCGCCGGGCAGGCUUGGAAAGGAAGGCGGGACUUGGAGAGCUCGGUCACAGACGGCCUCCCGUCUGCCCCGCCGCUACCCGAAAGGAGGGAGCCCCGUCCGCAUUUUCUGUUCGGUCCAUUUUAGUUCGAGAGGGGCUAAGGACUCGCCGGGCCUCGGCUGGGGCGUCCGACGUCCGGGUCACGGUUGGCAAGGCCUCCCAGCGGCCUCAGUUUCCACAGCGCACCUCCUGCUUGGGCUACAGACGACGCUGCAAAUUGCAGAACACUCUUUGCAGGGAGGAGAGUGUGGAUGGAGUGGGAGAGAGC